GACGAACCGAGCGAACGUUGUUCGGAAUCACUGGGCUUAAAGGGCGCGUAGGCGGGCUGUCAAGUCUGGGGUGAAAUCCCACGGCUCAACCGUGGAACUGCCUUAGAUACUGACGGCCUCGAGGGAGAUAGGGGCGUGCGGAACUGUGAGUGGAGCGGUGAAAUGCGUUGAUAUUCACAGGAACUCCGGUGGCGAAGGCGGCUCGCUGGAUCUUUUCUGACGCUGAGGCGCGAAAGCUAGGGGAGCAAACGGG
rnacentral:rRNA from 1 species